rnacentral:rRNA from 1 species
UGGGGAAUCUUGCACAAUGGAGGAAACUCUGAUGCAGCGAUGCCGCGUGAGUGAAGAAGGCCUUUGGGUUGUAAAGCUCUUUUGUAGGGGAAGAUAAUGACUGUACCCUAAGAAUAAGGUCCGGCUAACUUCGUGCCAGCAGCCGCGGUAAUACGAAGGGACCUAGCGUAGUUCGGAAUUACUGGGCGUAAAGCGCGCGUAGGCCGUUGAGUUAGUUAAUUGUGAAAUCCCAAAGCUUAACUUUGGAACUGCAAUUAAAACUGCUCGACUAGAGUUUGAUAGAGGAAAGCGGAAUACAUAGUGUAGAGGUGAAAUUCGUAGAUAUUAUGUAGAACACCAGUUGCGAAGGCGGCUUUCUGGAUCAACACUGACGCUGAGGCGCGAA